UACGUAGGGUCCGAGCGUUGUCCGGAAUUAUUGGGCGUAAAGGGCUCGUAGGCGGUUUGUCGCGUCGGGAGUGAAAACACGGGGCUUAACCCCGUGCCUGCUUCCGAUACGGGCAGACUAGAGGUAUGCAGGGGAGAACGGAAUUCCUGGUGUAUCGGUGAAAUGCGCAGAUAUCAGGAGGAACACCGGUGGCGAAGGCGGGUCUCUGGGCCGUAACUGACGCUGAGGAGCGAAAGCAUGGGGAGCGAACAGG
rnacentral:rRNA from 1 species